rnacentral:tRNA from 1 species
GAGGGUAUAGCUCAGUGGUAGAGUGCAUGCUUAGCAUUCACAAGGUCUGGGGUUCAUUCCCCAGUAUCUCCA